AGCGAACGCUGGCGGCAGGCCUAAUACAUGCAAGUCGAGCGCCCUUUCGGGGGAGCGGCGGACGGGUGAGUAACGCGUGGGAACGUGCCCUUUGGUACGGAACAACACAGGGAAACUUGUGCUAAUACCGUAUGUGCCCUUCGGGGGAAAGAUUUAUCGCCAUUGGAGCGGCCCGCGUUGGAUUAGGUAGUUGGUGAGGUAAAGGCUCACCAAGCCUACGAUCCAUAGCUGGUCUGAGAGGAUGAUCAGCCACACUGGGACUGAGACACGGCCCAGACUCCUACGGGAGGCAGCAGUAUGGAAUCUUGCGCAAUGGGCGAAAGCCUGACGCAGCCAUGCCGCGUGAAUGAUGAAGGUCUUAGGAUUGUAAAAUUCUUUCACCGGGGAAGAUAAUGACGGUACCCGGAGAAGAAGCCCCGGCUAACUCCGUGCCAGCCGCCGCGGUAC
rnacentral:rRNA from 1 species